GACGAACGCUGGCGGCGUGCUUAACACAUGCAAGUCGAGCGGUAAGGCCUUUCGGGGUACACGAGCGGCGAACGGGUGAGUAACACGUGGGUGAUCUGCCCUGCACUUCGGGAUAAGCCUGGGAAACUGGGUCUAAUACCGGAUAUGACCUCCUAUCGCAUGGUGGGUGGUGGAAAGAUUUAUCGGUGCAGGAUGGGCCCGCGGCCUAUCAGCUUGUUGGUGGGGUAAUGGCCUACCAAGGCGACGACGGGUAGCCGACCUGAGAGGGUGACCGGCCACACUGGGACUGAGACACGGCCCAGACUCCUACGGGAGGCAGCAGUGGGGAAUAUUGCACAAUGGGCGAAAGCCUGAUGCAGCGACGCCGGGUGAGGGAUGACGGCCUUCGGGUUGUAAACCUCUUUCAGCAGGGACGAAGCGCAAGUGACGGUACCUGCAGAAGAAGCACCGGCUAACUACGUG
rnacentral:rRNA from 1 species